AUACGGGGUUCGGCAUCCCGAGAGGGGAGAGCAGGCUGUGAAACCGGCAGGACCGGCCCCCACGGUUAGCUCCGAGUCUCCCGCAGCUUGGCCCUCAGUCCCCUGUGGCUGCAAGAUGGCCGCUGGGCCAGCAUCGAGGACCCCCACAUCCGGCCUGGCCCAUCCGGUGCUGUCCCUGGGCAGCGCCCUGCUCUGCGCCCACAGCCAUGAGUAUUUCCCAGAUUGUUCAGGGAGGCCUGGUGGGUCAUCAGGGAAAAACUGCCACUGGGUGUUUGCGUGGGAGGAGCUGCGGCCCGUGGGGUCCCCAGUCUCUCUUGUUAAAAAUUAACGGGAGUCUAUGUUAAAACGUUAACCAGUUUAUCUGAACAAACAGUGAUUGGUGAAAUGGAAAGCACCCAGCCAUGAUUUCUGGUCCACCAGAGGGGCAUAAAGGAAAGGCUUUCAUAAGAUGCAUGAGAAAGCAGCCCAAAUUCAAAAAUUGGUUCCAGUUAUGUAGUCACCUUAUUUGAACUAUCCAGAUGGAAAUGUCCUGGUUACAUAUUCAGAGGUUAAUUGCAUGUUUGCCAUUGGUUAAACGUGCAUUUUGUUUCAGGCUAAGAUAAUGCUUUAUAGGAAAUGUAUUUGAGUUAGGUUUUAGUUUUUGUUUUUUUUUUUUUAACCUAUGAACCCAGGACACUAGAGCCACUUUAGUCUAAUUUUCUGCUCUUUAAUUAUUUUAACACUCCAGAGGAGGACUGGUUUUCUCCUGUGUUUUUUUAAUAUAUGGCAAGUGGAACCUCUAAUCGACCACCCUGUUUUUCAGCCUAACUCAGGCUUGUGGUAAAAUUAUCAGUUCCCACUUUCUUUGCUGCAUUCUCAAAUGCAACACAGGAGAACAGCUUUCCCUUGCAAAUUCACAAUGCUGUUAACUAUUUGUCCUUUAUUAUACAUUUCAUUAAAGUUUUCUAUUAUUGGAUUUCUUUCUACUUCUCCCUACAGUUCUGCCCAUAUUUGCUUUUUAUAUUUAGAAGCCUCCCUUUUGGGUGCAUAAAUAUAUAUAGCUAUAUUCACUUGACAAAUUAACCUCUAUUAUUAUUGUAUGGUAAACUCAUUUCAUGCUUGUGAGAGACAUUGCUAGAAAGUCUAUUUUGUCUAAUUUAAGCAUAACUACCAUUGAACUCCUUUGGCUAUUAUUUGCAUGGAAUAUCAUUUUCUAUCCUUUCACUUUUAGCCUAUGCUCUUAAUUCAUAAUUGAGUCUCUUGUAAGCAGCAUAUUACGAGGUUUAAAAGUUUCAUUUAUCCACUCUGUCUGCUUUAGUCUCUUUUGGCUGUUAUAACAGAAUAUCACAGACUGGUAAUUAAUAAAGAACAGAAUUUUAUUUGACUCAUGAUUCUGGAGGCUGGGAAGGUAAAAGAACAUGUUACUGGUAUCUGUUGAAGGUCUAGUUGCUGGAUAAUAACAUGGCCAAAGAUGUGAGGGAGAGACAGCUUUUUUUUUUUAAUAUAUAACAGAUCCAUUCUUGUUAAAAUUAGCCCAUUCCCAUAAUAAGAACAUUAAUCCAUUCAUGAGGGCAGAGUGCUUAUAGCUUAAUUAAUUUUUAAAGGUUCCACCUCUUAAUUCUUUCACAUUGGCCAUUUUAUCCUAAAUUUUGGAGAUGACAUUCAGUCUACAGAAGUAUCUGUUUAGUAGAUACUUUAAUCUUUUUAUUUGUAAGGUAGUGAUAAGUAAGCAGUUACUAUUGUACAUUUGUAGUUUUCUGUCCAUUUUAAGUUUGCUUCUUUUUUUUCUGGUUCUGUCUUUCCUGUGGUAUUGUUCAUUUUUGUUGAGACAAAGUUAUGCUUUCUUGCUCAGACUGAAGUUCAGUGGCAUAUCACAGCUCACUGUAGCCUCAAUCUCCUGGGCUCAAGCAAUCCUCCCCCCUUAGCCACCCAAGUAGCUUGGACUACUUGGACACGUACCACAACACCCAAGGAGCUUAUGAUUCUUCCACCUUGGCCUCCAAAAGUGUUGGAAUUAUAAGCAGGAGCCACUGUAUCCAAUGUGUAAUUUUUGUUGUUUGUGUAUGCUUUAAUUACUUUCUCUUUUUCUUUACUAUGUUUUUUUUUCCCCCAGUGGUUAUCAUGAGACUUAUGUAAAACCUCUUGUAUUUUAAUAGUCUAGUUUAAGAUGAUAACAAUUUAGAGUAUUCUGAAUUUCAGUAUGUAUUUACCAUUUUUAGUGACAUUUAUACUUUAGUAUUUUUCAUAUUGUUAGUUAGCAUUUCAUCAUAUCAAUGUGAAGAUUUCUUCCAGACCAUGGCUGGAGAAGGAAAGAAGGUGUGUUUUGCCUGAUUCAGGGACUAUAGAGAGAACCAAGUUCUGCAGGCCUGUCACCUAAGUCUCAGAUGAGUAUGAAUUCUUUUGUGUUUUUCACAGAUUUUUGCAGUGGCAGGACCAAGUUCAAAUGAGUCAUAGCCAAGUUUACAGUAAGAUGUGGUAGUAUUCUGUUUUGAAGCCGGGACCAUGAUUGGCAAGCUUGCCACUUGGUCAAGUGCUUACCCUCUAAAGAUGUCUUCCUUGGUCUUUGCCUCCAGCUGGGUGUCACAAACUCUGAACUGGAUUCUAAGGCUUUCAUGAAUGCACUUAUGUUUCCCGUGGCAGCUGCAUUAUGUUGUGGGGGAUGUGCAUGCCGAACCUCCCAUUCUGUCAUCUUGCUUAUGUUACUCUCCUUUAUGUUUCACUUUCUCAAAUGAAUGUCAAGCUGGUGAUUUUUAGAUUCAAAAAUUCUAAAAUAAAUUGCUCAAAUUUCCACAUUAUGUAAGCUAUUAAUAAAAUGUCUUGUAGGUGCUACAUAUUUAUUAAAAUUUUUGGUUGUAAUUUUAAGCUCACUGCAGGCAGAAAGGAAUCAUUAACAUUUAUAUUCUUUUUUUUAGUCUGUAUCUAAAUGAUGGCAUAUUUUAAUUCCAGAUAUUUACUUUAUACUGCAGUAAUGCUCGUCAUAUUUUGCAAAAUUUAUGUUGUUCUUUUAUUUGGAAAUAUAAGGCUUUUUUAGCUCCUGAAAUCUAUAUUAUAGUCAUAUAAUUUUAUUAUGUUUUGUGGUAAGAAGUGCAGCAACAUAUUGAGAACAUAAUAAAAUUAUCCUGUAUUUUUAAUGAUUAUUUAUUAAAUUCCUCUCAUUAGAGCCUGUUAUUAAUGAUUGUAAUGUAUUUUCUGUAUAAUUUUACUGCAAUUUAUUAAAUUCUAAUGACUUAAAUUGUCUGCUUUUCAUGAGUGCACACAGUUGAAUGCUGUAGAUAUCUAAAGAAUUAUUUUUCGGCCGGUUGUGGUGUCUCAUGCCUGUAUUCCCAGCACCUUGGGAGGCCAAGGCGGGUGGAUCACGAGGUCAGGAGAUCGAGACAACCCUGACUAACAUGGUGAAACCCCGUCUCUACUAAAUAUACAAAAAAUUAGCCGGGCAUAGUGGCAGGCGCCUGUAUCCCCAGCUACUCAGGAGGCUGAGGCAGGAGAAUGGCGUGAACUCAGUGGACAGAGUUUGCAGUGAGCCGAGAUCGCGCCACUGCACUCCAGCCUGGGCAACAGGGCAAGACUCUGUCUCAAAAAAAAAUAAAAAAAAAAAAACGGUUAUUUUCCAUUGUAAAUCUAUGUUGUAUUCAGGAUUUUAUGCACGAAAAUCUCUCUUCUUAUUUUCAAGUCCGUGUUAUUGUGUUUCUUUUCUUGGGAGUUAUGUUUUCUCAGAUCAGUUAAAUGUAUUUUUAUUUUAAAGCUUGAUAUCAUCAGUUGAAAGAUAAUUUUUAGCUCGGUACACUUUAUCUCAAUGUGAUGUUUAAUAUAUGUGUGAAUUAGCUGUGUUUGUUGCUUAUAGAUAUAUCUGUAUGUUUUUCACUUAUGUAAGUAUGACAUCUUUUUCCUUGUUUUUUUGUUUUUUUCUUUUCAGUUUCAGAUAGGCUUUUUUUUUUUUUUAAGAGAAUUUUAAAACAGAGUCGAAAGAAGAGAAAUCAGUUAUUUGUCCUCUUGCAGGGUGGGGAGACAACUUCCUUCCCCACAGGUUUGAGGCUAUGCCUAAGUGGUGAGUCUUGAGGAGAUGCAGAAAGGAUCCAUCCCAGGCACUUGGCUGGACUUAAGUAAGCAUAGCCUUUAGGCCACAAGACCUGAUGGUUUGGGUACUGGUCUGGACAUAAGUCCCCAUCUUCCCAGAAAUAUCAUCUUUUGUCUGCAACAACUGGCUGGAGAAAUAUUUCAGAAAGAUAUGUGUCUGGAACACCCAAAGACAUACUUUUCCUUUCUCCUUGGCAUAGGCCUUGCAGCACUGAAGAAAGACCAGGUUUGCAAUGGAGCCUUCAACAGUCUUCAUCCCUAUGGAACUCAGGGUCUCAUAGGGUGACAGGAGAGGAGACAAAGCUAACUUGGGAAGAGUCUCUGUCCUUCAGCUUCUCCCCUACUGAAACACUAUAUAUUGGGCCCACAGUUCAUCACAAAACACACAUGCUCUCUUUCUUUCUCUCACACCCACAUCUUGGGAACCCAAAAACUUGAUGGCAGGUAGCUCUGGGUAUCCUUGGUCUGGCAUUCACCCACUGGGAAUCUAAGCUGUCCUAAAGCUCUUUUCAAUCACUUCUCACUGUUUCCAGGCCCAUGUGGGUAGGUGUUCCAGGCUUCAUUCUUUCAGGCUGAUCAUAAAGGCACAGUGUGGGAAAAUCCCCUACUGUGAUGGCCAUUGCUGGGAAGCAGGAAAGGCUAAGGGCCCACUGCUGCCCAAGGCUAGUAUAGAUGCCCUCUGCUCCACUCAUGUCCUCAAAGACUGAUAUCAGGUGCAGCAGCUGCUGUCUGGAAUGUUAUCAAACCAGGACUGCACAGGCACUGCAUUCUCUGUGUGGAAGACAUAAGAAGCAGGCGAGUUGUCCAGGAUGAGAGUUUUCCUCAGGUCCCUCCCCAGAUGGCUGAGGUCAUUGACAUAGCAGCCCUGGUGGAACAAACGUGACUCAUGGGCUAGGCAACCCCAGAACACCUCACACUGGUCCAGCACACCCAUCACAAUGUGUCUGGAAUUGGUGGGUUCUUGUUCUCACUGACUUCAAGAAUGAAGCCACAGACCCUCACGGUGAGUGUUACAGUUCUUAAAGGUGGCAUGUCUGGAGUUUGUUCCUUCUGACAUUCGGAUGUGUUGAGAGUUUCUUCCCUCUGGUGGGCUCGUGGUCUCGCUGGCUCAGGAGUGAAGCUGCAGACGUUCGCGGUGAGUGUUACAGCUCUUAAGGUGGCACAUCUGGAGUUGUUCAUUCCUCCAGGUGGGUUCGUGGUCUCGCUGGCUUCAGGAGUGAAGUUGUGGACCUUCACAGUGAGUGUUACAGCUCAUAAAGGCAUUGUGGACCCAAAGAGUGAGCAGCAGCAAUAUUUAUUGCAAAGAGCAAAAGAACAAAGCUUCCACAGUGUGGAAGGGGACCCGAGUGGGUUGCCACUGCUGGCUGGGGCAGCCUACUUUUAUUCCCUUAUCUGGCCCCACCCACAUCUUGCUGAUUGUUAGAGCCGAGUGGUCUUUUUUCACAGGGCGCUGAUUGGUGUGUUUACAAUCCCUGAGCUAGACACAAAGGUUCUCCACAUCCCCACCAGUGUAGCUAGAUACAGAGUGUUGAUUGGUGCAUUCACAAACCCUGAGCUAGACACAGGGUGCUGGUUGGCAUGUUUACAAACCUUGAGCUAGAUACAGAGUGCCGAUUGGUGUAUUUACAAUCCCUGAGCUAGACACAAAGUUUCUCCACGUCCCUACCAGACUCAGGAGCCCAGCUGGCUUCACCCAGUGGAUCCCCCACAGGGUCUGCAGGUGUAGCUGCCUGCCAGUCUGGCACUGUGCACCCGCACUUCUCAGCCCUUGAGUGGUUGAUGGGACUGGGUGCUGUGGAGCAGGGGGUGGCACUCAUCCAGGAGGCUUGGGCACACAGGAGCCCACCGAUGGGGGGGAGGCUCAGGCAUGGCGGGCUGCAGGACCCAAGCACCGCCCUGUGGGAUGGCAGCUAAGGCCCAGCGAGAAAUUGAGCACAGCAGCUGCUGGCCGAGGUGUUAAGCCCCUCACUGCCUGGGGCCGGUGGGGCCAGCCGGCGGCUCCGAGUGUGGGGUCCGCCGAGCUCGCGCUGGCCUUCAAGCACUGCACGCCGCCCUGGUUCCCACACGCACCUCUCCCUCCACACCUCGUCGCAAGCUGAGGGAGCCGGCUCCGACCUUGGCCAGCCCAGAAAGGGGCUCCCACAGUGCAGCGACAGGCUGAAGGGCUCCUAAAGUGCCGCCAAAGUUGGAGCCCAGGCAGAGGAGGCCCGGAGAGUGAGCAAGGGUUGUGAGGACUGCCAGCACGCUGUCACCUCUCAACAGGAUCUGCAUACUUGUUCAGUCUGGAAUGAAGAGAGCAAUGAAGAAAACACAUUUAAACAAUUCCUCCAGUCAUCUCAGGAACUCAUCCAUAUAAGGCCUCAUGGUCCCCUCAAUCUUUACAGUCACUAGGCAGUCAGCAUUGCUGAUUGGCUUAAUGGAGCUAUGCACAAGGGUUUCAUCCAUGUCAGUGACCAUACAGAUCGUUCCUUGAUUUUUCUCUGUCACCUCUGGGAGCAGGCAGGUCCCUGGGAUCUGAUAAAACUGAUACUGGAGACCCUUGAGCUGAUCCGACUUAGCAAUGGUGUUGACUCCCUCCUUAUGUGUGGAGAACUCAGUGGGGGAACUUGACUUGCCAACAUGCUGGGUGCAAGAACAGCAGAAAGGUACCUUCUAAGAUGUCACAAACAUGAGGCCUCUUCGGAGAGCACUUUGGAAACCAGGCCUUGCUUGCUAAGGACCAGGGCAUCUUCCCUCCAUGCCUGGGUGGUGAUGGAGCCUGGUUCCAUCUAACAAUCCUGAGGGCUCGGCUGGCUGGGUGGGAAGACAGCGGGCACGUUGGCUGGACUGGGCUGGGGGGCAUGGGCUGGGGCCUGAUUCAGUUCCCGAGAGUCUGACUUCCACAGCUGUUCACAUACCCCUUCUCCUUUCCAUCACAGGCCGGGAAGGGAGGCGGUCUGUAGGGACGGUGGAUGGCCUUGGCAGCAGCUCCCCAGGGUGCCCCCAGCCCCAAAUCCCCCAGCAGGAGCUUCAGGAUCCUCAGUUUGGGUCUAACCUAGGGAAUCCACCUCAUACUCAUGUUUUUUCAAGUUUUAUUUUAAGUUCAGUGGUCCAUAUGUGAUAAGCUUUUUUUUCAACUUUUAUUUUAAGUUUAGGGGUCCAUGUGCAGGAUAUGCAGGUCUCUUACAUAGAUAAACGUGUGCCAUUGUGCUUUACUGCACAGAUCAUCUCAUCACCCAGGUACUAAGCCCAGCAUCCGCAGCUAUUCUUCCUGCUGCUCUCCUUCCCCUCCCCCAUGCCAUGAAACAGGUGUCCAGUGUGUGUUGUUCUUCCUGAUGUGUCCAUGUGUUCUCAUUGAUCUGCUUCUGCUAAUAAGUUAGAAUAAUAAUAGGUGGUGUUUGGUUUUCUGUUCCUGCAUUAGUUUGCUGGGAGUAAUGGCUUCAAAUUCCAACCAUGUCCCUGCAAAGGACAUCAUCUCAUUACAUUUUAUGGCUUCAUAGUGUUCCAUGGUGUAUGUGUACCACAUUUUCUUUAUCCAGUAUAUCAUUGAUGGGCAUGUAGAUUGAUUACAUGACGUUGCUAUUGUAAAUAUUGCUGCAAUGAACAUAUGUAUACAUGUUUAUUUAAAAUAGAUUUAUAUUCCUUUGGGUGUAUGCCCAGUAAUAGUAUUGCUGGGUCAAAUGGUAUUUCUGCUUCUAGGUCUUUGAGGAAUCUCCACACUCUCUUCCACAAUGCUUGAAAUAAUUUACAAUCCCACCAACAGUGUAAAAGUGUUCCCUUUUCUCCACAACCUCACCAGCAUCUGUUUUUAUUUCUUUUUUACUUUUUAUUAAUAGACAUUGUAAUUGGUGUGAGAUGGUAUCUCAUUGUUGUUUUGAUGUGUAUUUAUCCAGUUAUCAGUGAUGUUGAGCUUUCCAUGUUUGUUGGGCACAUGUAUGUCUUCUUUUGAGAUAUGUCUGUUCAUGUCCUUUGACCACUUUUUAAUGGGGUUGUUUGUUUUUCUCUUGUAAAUUUUAAGUCCCUCAUAGAUUCUGGGUAUUAGAUAUUUGUCAGAUGAAUAGGUUGCAAAAUUUUUCUCCCAUUCUCUAGCUUCUCUGCUCUGAUGAUAGCUUCUUUGGCUCUGUGGAAUCUCUUUAGUUUAAUUAGACCCCAUUAGUCAAUUUUUGCUUUUGUUGCUAUUUCUUUUGGUCUUUUUGUCAUCAAAUCUUUCCUCAUGACUAUAUCCUGAAUGGUAUUUUCUAGAUUUUUUCUUCUAAGGUUUUUAUAGUUUUGGGUUUUACAUUCAAGUCUUUAAUCCAUCUUGAGUCAAUUUUUGUCUAUGGUGUUAGGAAGGGUUCCAGUCUUAAUUCUCUGCACAUGACUAGCCAGUUAUCCUAGCACUAUUUAUUGAAUAGGGAGACUUUUCCCUAAUUCCUUGUUUUUGUUGACUUUGUCAAAGAUCAGUUUGUUGUAGGUUUUUGGCUUUAUUUCUAUGCUCUCUAUUUUGUUUCAUUUGUCUAUGUGUCUGUUUCUAUACCAGUACCAUGCUGUUUUUGUUACUGUACUCUUCUAGUACAGUUUGAAGUUAGGCAAUGACCCUUUCAGCUUUUUUUUUUUUUUUUUCUUAAGGUUGGCUUGGCUAUUUGGGCCAACCAAAAAAGAUUUUGGUUCCAUUUUAAUUUUAAAAAGUUUUUUUUUUCUAAUUAUCUGAAGAAUGUCAGUAGUUCAAUGGGAACAGCAUUGAAUCUAUAAAUUACUUAGGGCAAUAUGCUCAUAUUCGUGGUACUGAUUCUUUCUCUCCGUGAGCAUGGAAUGUUUCUCCAUUUGUUUUGUGUCCACUCUGAUUCCUCUGAGUAGUUGUUUGUAGUUCUCCUUGAAGAUAUCCUUCACUUUCCUUCUUAGCUGUAUUCCUUGGUAUUUUUUUCUCUUUAUAGCAAAUGUGAAUGAAAGUUCAUUCAUGAUUUGUCUCCCUGCUUGCCUGUUGCUUGUGUAUGGGAAUGCUAGCUACUUUUGCAGAAUGAUUUUAUAUCCUGAGAUUUUGCUACUGCUGCUUAUCACCUUAAGAAGCUUUGGGGCUGAGACGAAGAGGCUUUCUAGAUAUAGGGUCAGGUCAUCUGUAAACAAAGAUAAUUUGACUUUCUCUCUUUCUAUUUGAAUACUGUUUAUUUCUUCCUCUGGCCUGAUUUUCCUGGACAAGUUUUCCGAAUGGGAGUUGUAAUGCGAGUGGUGAGAGAGAGCAUACUUUUCUUGUGCCGGUUUUCAGGGGGAAUGUUUCCAGCUUUUGCACAUUCAGUAUGAUAUUGGCUGUGGGUUUGUUGUAUAUGGCUCUUCUUAUUUUGAGGUAUGUUUCUUCAGUUCCUAGUUUAUUGAGAAUUUUAAACGUGAAGGAAUGUUGAAUUUUAUUGGGUGCUUUUUCUGCAUCUAUUGAGGUAAUCAUGUGGUUUUUUUAUUUAGUUUUCUUUAUGUGAUGAGUCACAUUUGUUGAUUUGCAUAUGUUGAAUCAACCUUGCAUCCUGGGGACAAAGCCAAUUCCAUUGUGGUGGAUGCACUUUUUAAUGUGCUGCUGGGUUUGGUUUGCCAGUAUUUUAUUGAGGAUGUUUGCACAGUGUUCAUCAAAGACAUUGGCAUGAUGUGUUGUUGUUGUUGUUGUUGUAUCUAUGUUAGGUUUUGGUAUCAGGAUGAUGCUGGCCUGAUAGAAUGAGUUAGACAGAACUUCUUUGUCUUCAAUUUUUUUUGGAUAGUUUUAGGAGAAAAUGUACUAUCUCCUCUUUACCUCAAGUCAAAUUCAGCUUGCUUGGUAGGCUAGUUCUUACUGCCUCAAUUUCAGAACACAUUAUUGAUCUAUUCAGGGUUCAGUCUUGUAGAGAGUUUAUUUUGCAAGGAAAUUGUCCAUUUCUUCUAGAUUUUCUGGUUUAUGAGCAUAGAGGUGUUUAUAGUAUUCUCUGAUCGUUGUUCUUAUUUCCAUGGGAUCAGUGAUGAUAUCUCCCUUAUUAUUUCUAUUUGUGUUUGGUUCUUUCUUUUCUUAUUUAUUUGCCUAACUAGUGUUCCAUCUAGUUUAUUAAUUUUUUUUUUUUUUCAUAAAAACAGCUCCUGGAUUGGUUGAGUUUUUUUUUUUUUUUUUUUUUUGGAAGAGUUCUCAGUGUCUCUAUCUCCUUCAGCUCUACUCUGAUCUUGGCUAUUUCUUGUUUUCUGCUAGCUUUCAGGUUUGUUUUCACUUGGUUUUCUUGUUCUUUUAAUCAAGAUGUUAGGCUGUUAACUUCAGAUCUUUCUAAUUUUUUUUUUUUUCUUGUGGGAGAGUUUCACUCUGUCACCCAGACUGGAGUACAGUGGCAUAAUCUCGGCUCACUGCAACCUCCUCUUCUCGGUUUUAAGUCACUUCUGCUGUCUCAGCCUCCUGAGUAGCUGGGAUUACAGAUGUCAAUCACCACACCUAGCUAAUUUUUGUAUUUUUUUGUAGAUAUAUGGUUUUGCUGUUGGUCAGGCUGGUCCUGAACACCUGGUCUCAAGUGAUCUGCCUACCCCAGCCUCCCAAAGUGCUGGAAUUACAGGCAUGAGCCACCAUGACUGGCCCUUUCUAGCUUUUUGAUGUGGACAUUAGUGCUAUAAAUUUUCCUCUUUUCUUGGUUUCUAGUGAUUAUUUUAUUCUAUCUUGGUGAGUAGUCAGGGAAAUAAUCUUAAAUUUACAAUCAACUUAUAGUUUAAAUCUAAAAAAUUAUGUGAGAAGAACCCUUUGUUAUUUGAAGGGGAUGUUUGAAGAUUUUGUAACCGUGCCUUUUAGGUAGUCCUAAAUUUCUAAUUGUAGUUAAAAACAUGCCAUUUUCAUUUCUAACAUUUUAAGUAUAUGGUUUAGAAGUGGUAAGUAUAGUUCUAUUUUUUUUGCAAUAGGUUUUAGAUAAUUUUUGUCUUACAAAAUUAAAAGUGAAUACUCAUUAAUUCUGAAACAAGUUAGUUAGCUUGCUUUAGUUAGAUAGCAAGAGAAGGGUCCCUGGAAAGUCCCUGGCCCUUGGGUCAGUAUCUCAUCCCUGCAUAACAUAAAAGGAAUCCUGGAAAAAAUCAAGCUGCAGACACUAACAAGGUAACUAGCACAUGGUGUUGUGCUUGGAGACCUGCCCAUGGCUGCACAGACAGAAAAACCUCUGGCCCAUUUGGAUAAAAACUGGUACAAACCUCCAGCUCACUGAGAUAAGGGAACAAGACCGACCUGGCAUAGAAAUGCCUUUGUUUGGCCAGGCAUGGUGGCUCAUGCCCGUAAUUCCAGCAAUUUGGGCGGAAGUGGGCGGAUCACCUGAGGUCGGGAGUUCGAGACCAGCAUGACCAACAUGGAGAAACCCUGUCUCUACUAAAAAUACAAAAUUAGCCGGGCAUGGCGCCUCAUGCCUGUAAUCCCAGCUACUUGGGAGGCUGAGGCAGGAGAAUCACUUAAAUCCAGGUGGCGGAGUUUGCUGUGGGCUGAGAUCGCACCACUGCACUCCAGCCUGGGCAACAAGAGCAAAACUACGUCUCAAAAUAAAUAAAUAAAUAAAUAAAUAAAUAAAUAAAUAAAUAAUAAGAAAGUACAUCUCAAAAAAAAAAAUGAAAGAAAGAAAGAAAAGAAAAAGAAAAAAAGAAACGCCUUUGUACUUUGUGCAGUCAGUGCGCUCCCAGGAAAAUGUUUCUUCUCCUUCUGUGGGCAUAAGCACAGUGGGCUCUGGUGCAUUCCGGUCGACACUCUCCUUUAUUUGGACUGUAAGUCUGACCUCUGUGAAUAAUUACUUCAGCCCCUGAUUGCUCCCGGGACAAGCUCCUGCGCCAAGCUUUCACUUUGGCUUCUUAUAAGUCCUGGGCCAAUCUAAAUAGCAUCUAUGAAUCAUCCCUUCAGCUCCUGAUUGGUCCCGGGCCAAAGUCCUGGGCCAAGCUGAGCCACACUUUUUUCAAGACAGCCUGUGAACUAAGCACAUUUCCUUCUCUUCCUUUCCCAGUCCAUAAAAACCUUGGGCCCCAGCCUCACAGAGGUCACCCCAUUCAGAAACUAUCUCUGCUGGCAAAGAGCUUUCUUCUCUUGCUUAUCAAACUUUCACUCUAACCUCACCUUUGUGUUCACGCUCCUUAAUCUCCCUAGAAGUAGAACAAAGAACUUUCGAUGCUAUCUCAGACUAUGAGAGACUGUUACAUCUUGGUGCACUGCUGAGACUACAACACUUGGUUUCUUUGAGUUUGACUAAAUAUUUUACAUAGGUGUAAUUAUACAGUUUUCCUUUUUGACUGUCUUGUUUUACUUAACAGAAUGUUUUCGAGAUUUGUCUUUAUUGUAGUACUUUUCAAGAUUUCCUUAUUUUCAAGGCUGAAUGCUAUCCCAGUGAAUACACAUGCCCUGUUUGUUGAAUCUACUCAUCCUUAAAGGUACAUUUGCUUCCAGGUAGUAUGUUUGUGAGUAAUGCUACAGUGUACAUAAAUGUGCAUAUAUCUAUUCCAUGUUCUGCUUUGCCUGUUUGGGAUAUUUUUCACACACUGAUUUAGUACCAUGUGUAUUCCCUUGCUUUUGUUGUCUGAUCCGUUGAUGUUACAUCCCCCAAAUUAUUGCCGAGACCAAUUGUCAUGAAGCUUCACCCUUCUGUAUUGUGCUAGGAAUUUUACAGCUAUAGAUUUUACAUUAUAGUCUUCAUAUUUUAAAAUUGACACAUGUAAUUGUACAAAUUUUGGGGAAACAAUUAUGUAUAUAUGUUGUAUAGCAAUAAAAAUCAGAGUACUUAGUGUAAUUAUUGCCUCAUACAUUUGUUAUUUUUGUGGUGAGAACAUUCAAAAGCUUCUUCUCUAGCUAUUUUUUUAUAUCUUUAUGUAUUAACUUUUUUUAGAGACAGGAUCUUGCUCUAACACACAGAUUGGAGUGCAGUGGUGCAAUCCUAGCUCACUGUAACCUCAAACAAUCUUCUAACCUCAGCUUCCCAAUUAGCUGAGACUACAGGAACCUGCCUCCAUGCCUGGAUAAUGUUUUAAUUUUUCAUAGAGACGGGGUCACACUACGUUGUCCAGGCUCAUCUUGAACUUCUGUCUUCAAGUGAUUCUCCUACCUCAUUCUCCCAAAAUGUAUGGAUGGCAGGAAUGUGCCACCACAACUGGUCUCUUUUAGCUAUUUUGUAAUAUGAGAUAACUUUUCAUUAAUUAUUAUUAUUCUGCUGUGUAACAAAAAACAAAAACUUAUUUCUCCUAUCUAAUUGUAACACAAUACUUUUGAAGCUGCCUUUUCCCAUCUACCUGCUUCAGUCUCUGGUAACCCCUGUUGUACUCUUUGCUUAUAUCAACCCUUUUUUUCAGGUUCCUCAAAUGAGUGAGAUAAUAAGAUCAUAAAGUAUUUGUGUUUCUCUAUGUGGCUUAUUUUACUUAACAUGGUAUGCUCAAGGUUCAUCCAUGCUCUUUUAACUGACAGAAUUUUAUCCUUUCUUAUAGCUGAAUAGUAUUUCACUGUGCAUAUAUAGUACAUUUUCCUUAUCCAUUUAUCUGUUACUGUACAUUUGAAUUGAUUCCAUAUAUAAGCUAUUAUAACUAGUUCUGUAACUAACAUGGAAAUGCAAAUAUCUUUUUGACACAGUGAUAUCCUUUCUUUUGUAUAUACAUACAGGAGUAAAAUUGCUGGAUCAUGUAAUACAUCUAUUUUUAAUUUCUUUCAGAAACCUCCAUAGUAUUUUCUAUAGUGGCCAUACUAAUUUACAAUUCCACCAACAAUGUAUACAUUCACUCAUUUUAUAUCCUCAUUAGUACUUGUUUUAUUUAUUUAUUUAUUUUUAUUAUAGCCAUUCUAAAUGGGAGUGAGGCGGUACCUCAUUGUGGUUUGGAUUUUCAUUUCCUUGGUGAUUAGUAAUGUAGAACAUAUUUUUAUGUUCCAGUUAGCCAUUUUUGUAUCACUUUUUGACAAACAUCUAUUAAGAUCUUUUGCAUUUUUUAAAUUAGAUUAUAAGUGUAUUUUAUUUUGAGAUUUUAAAGUUUCUUAUUUAUUCUGAAUAUUAGCCUUUUGUCACAUGUAUAUGAGAACAUUUUCUGUCAUCGCCUAAGCUGUCUCUUCAAAUUUUUAGUUGUUUUUUUAAUAUGAAAGGUUGCAGUGAACUGAGAUCACACCAUUGCACUCCACCCUGGGCAACAAGAGGAAAAACCCAUCUCAAGAUAAAAAGAAAGAAAAGAAAAGAAAGAGCAUUGAAUCAGUAAACCACUUUCAGUAGUAGUGACAUGUUAACAACAUUAAGUCUAUAACCUCUUGAACAAGAGUGUGUUUGAGAAUUUGUUGUUUAAUUUUUACUUAUUCUUUGACAUGCUAGUGUUUUUAACUUCUUGUUUUAUUGUAUCAUAGUUAGCAAUAAUUUUGUAAUUCCAUCUGCUUAAAUUUGCUAAGAUUCAUUUUUUAACUUAACAGGUGGUCUCUCUGGAAUAUUGUGGCAUGUGUGAUUAAAAGUAUUGCAGAUUCUACUGUUGAGUGGAGAGAUAUAAAUGUGACUGUUAGGUCUAAUUGUUCUAUCGUGUUGUUGAAAUCCUCUGUUUACUUAUCCAUCUUAUGUUUGUUUUUUAAUUUACAUUACUAAAAGUCAGAUAUAAAAGUCAUUUACUGUUAUCAGGUGCUGGCUACUUCAUGUUUCAAUUCUGUAAAAUGUUGCUUCAUAUGUUUGGGAACUGUGAUGUAAGGCACAUACGUCACUGUUGUUGCUUUUAUUGUUGUAUGUUGUUUUAAUGUUGUUGCUUUUAUUGUUGUAUGUUGCUUUAUUGUUGUUGCUUUUAUUGUUGUUGUUUUUAUUGUCCUUUUCCUCUUGUCUCUUGAGGAAGUUUUUGAUAUAAUAUGUAUUUUGUCUACCAUGACAGUAUUUGAUUUUGCAUUUAAUAUUUUUUAUUAUUCUUUCAUGUACAGGUUAUAUGUGUUCCAGAUCAUAAUUUGGUUAUUUGUAGGAAGCAGAGAGUUGAAUCUUGUUUCAUGAAUUUAUUUAGUGAAAGUAUGUUUUUGAUUGACAUAAUUGAUUUAUAUAAAAAAAUUACUAAAAGGGAAUGAUUUCGUAUUGCAUUUUGUUUCUUUUUUGUUUUAGGUCCUGCAGCUUUUUUUUUUUUUUUUUUUUUGAGACGGAGUCUCUCUCUGUCGCCCAGGUUGGAGUGCAGUGGUGAGAUCUUGGCUCAAAGUAAGCUCUGCCUCCCGGGUUCAUGCCAGUCUCCUGUCUCAGAUUCCCCAGCAGCUGGGAUUGCAGGAGCCUGCCACCACUCCCGGCUAUUUUUCUUUUUUUUUUGGUAGAGACGUGGUUUCACCGUGUUAGCCAGGAUGGGCUCGAUCUACUGACCUCGUUGAUCCACCCACCUCGGCCUCCCAAAUUGCUAGGAUUACAAGCGUGACCCACCGCCCCUGGCCGGUCCUGUAGCUAUUUCGUUCCUGUUUUUCUCUCUUGUUCUCUUUCUUAGUGUACUAUUGAUUUUUGUAGGGACAUGUUUUAAUUCUUUUCUCACUACUCUCUGUGUGUGUAUGUCUUUGUGUGUGUGUACUAUAGGUAUUUCCUUUUUUUUUUUUUUUGACAGGGUCUUGCUCUGUCACCCAGGCUGGAGUGCAGUGGCACAAUCUCUGCUUACUCAAGCUCUGCCUCUCAGGCUCAACUCAAACAAUCCUCCCACCACAGCCUUCUGAGUACCUGGGACCACAGAUGUGCACCACUACUCCUGGCUAACAGUUGUUAUUUUGCAUAGAGACAGGGUUUUGCCAUGUUGCCCAGACUAGUCUCAAAAUCCUAAGAACUGUAGGUAUUUUCUUUGUUGUUACUAUAGAUAUUACCAAGAAUAACUACUAUUGCAUAUAAAACCCUGCCUCUUUAUGGCUCCCUAUGUGUUUUAUUGAUGUCACAAAUUAUAUCAUUUUGUGUUGUGAAUCUAUUGGCACAGAUUUAUAGUCAUUUUUAAGUCUUUGUUAUCUCAAAUAUAUAGCAGAAUUAAAGUAUUUUGUGCAUCUUCAUUAUAAUUACAAAGAAUAUUAUGAUUGUGUACAUAAUUUUCUCUAUUAGAAAAGGUCAUAUUUUACAUAAUUUUGUGUUGCUCUCAUCAUUAUUUCAUUUUUUAAUAUGAAUGACUAUUUAGCAUUUUUUAAGACAGGCCUAGUGGGUAUAAAUUUAUACAGUUUUUGUUGAUCUUGAAUAUUCUUUAUUUUUAUUUUUUAAUUCAUUUGAAAUGAUAGUUUUGGCAGACAUAGUGUUCUUGGCUGGUACUUGCCAUUUUUUCAGCACUUUGAGUAUGUCAUCCUACAACCUCUUACCUGUAAGUUUUUUUGCUGAGACAUCUGCUGGUCAUCCUGCAGGGGUAAACUUGUACAUGCUAAGUCACUUUUUUCUUGCUGACUUCAAGAUUCUCGGUGUUUUAACUUUUGAAUCUCUGAUUAUAAUGUGUCUUGUCAUGGGUCUCCCUGUGUUGUUACUAGUUAGAGUUGGUAAAGUUUCAUUAAAUUUUAGGUCAUUUUCUCCCUCAAAUUCUGAGUUCUCUGUCACUGUUUGUUUCUUGAAAUAACUUUGCUGCUCUCUUUUCUCUUUUUAUUUUAGAAUUCCCAUUAUGAGUAUAUUGGCCAUCUUAAUGGUAUCCUAUAAGUCCCUUAGGCUCUCUUAAUUUUUUAAAUUAUUUUUAGCCUCCUCACCCUAUAAUUUCAAAUGACUUCUUAUGAGGCUUGCUGAAUUUUUUCCUGCUAGAUCAAACCUGUUGUUGGACCUUCUAGUGAAUCUCUAAACUCAGGUAUUUUACUUUUCAGCUCUACACUUUGUUUCUAUUUUGCACUUUUAAUCACUUCUUUGAUAAUCUCAUUAUCUUCAUGCAUUGUUUUCUUUUUCUGUUUAGUUUACUAUAUUCUUCUUUAGCUGACUGAGCAUCUUUAAGCUAGGUGUUUUAGCCAGGCACAGUGACACGUGCAUGUAACUCCAGCUACUUUGAAAGCUAAGGCAAGAGGGCUACUGUAUUAAUCCAUUAUCAUGCUGAUAAUAAGGACAUAAACAAGACUAUGUAAUUUAUCAUGAAAAAAGUUUUAAUGGCCUCUCAGUUUCACAUGGUUAGGGAGGUCUCACCAUUAUUGGAACAAGCAAGAGACUGUUCAGGGGAACCUCCACUUAUAAAACCAUCAGAUCACAUGAGACUUAUUUGUUAUCAUGAGAACAGCACGGGAAAAUCCCACCCCCAUGAUUCAAUUACCUCCCACAGGGUACCUCCCAGGACAUAUGGGGAUUAUUACAAUUUAAGAUGAGAUUUGAUUGGGGACACAGAGCCAAACCCUAUCAAUUACUUAAAGCCAGGAGUUUGAGACUACCCCGGGCAAUAUUGUGAGAAGCUAUUGGUAAAAAAUAUUUUCACAUAUUACUCAGGCAUUGUGGAAUGUUCCUGUAGUCUCAGGAAGUUGGAGGCUGAGGUAAGAUUAUUCCUUGAGUUCCCCAGGAACUUGAGGCUGCAUUGAGCUAUAAUCAUGGUAUUGUAUUCCUGUCUGGGUGAGAGAGUAAGACCUCUUUUUAGCAUUUCAAAUUUAUUUUAGAUUUAGGAGGUACCUACACAGGUUUUUUACAUGGGUAUUUUGUAUAAUGCUGAGGUUUGAAGUAUGAGUAAUUCCAUCAAUCAGGUAGUGAGCAUAGUACUAAGUAGACAGUUUUUCAGUUCUUGGUCCCUCCCUCUCUCCACCCUCUAAGAGUUGUCUAUUAUUUUUGUUUUUCUGUUCAUGUGUACCCAGUGUUAAUUUCCAUUUAUAAGUGAGAAUAUGCAGUAUUUUCAUUUUUCAUUUCUGCAUUAAUUUGCUUUGUAUAAUGGCCUUUAGUUGUGUUAACGUUGCUGCAAAGGAGGUUUUUUUUGUUUGUUUUUGCUAAGUAGUAUUGCUGUACAUGUGACACUUUUUAAAUUCAAUUUACCAUCAAUAGGCUGGACAUGGUGGCUGACGCCUGUAAUCCCAGUGCUGUGGGAGGCCAAGGCGGGUGGAUCAUGAGGUCAGGAGAUCGAGACCAUCCUGGACAACGUAAUGAAACCCCCUCUGUACUGGAAAUACAAAAGUUAGCCAGCCUUGGUGGCAUGCGCCUAUAGUCCCAGCUACUCGGGUGGCUGAGGCAGGAGAAUUGCUUGAACCUGGGAGGUGGAGGUUGUAGUGAGCUGAGAUCGUGCCACUGCACUGCAGCCUAGGCAACAGAGUGAGACGUCAUCUCAAAAAAAUAAAAAAUUACCAUGAAUAGGCACGUAGGUUGAUUCACGUCCUUCCUCUUAUGAAUAGUGUAGUGAUGAACCAACAAGUGCAUGUGCUAUUUUGGUAGAAUAGUUUAUUCUCUUUUGGGUAUAUACCCAGCGGUGAAAUUGCUGGGUUGAAUCACAGUUUAACUCUCAGUUAUUUGGAAAAUCUCCAAGCUACUCUCCGCAGUGGCUGAACUAAUUUACAUUCCUAUUAACAGUGUAUAAGUGGUUUUUUCCCUCUAAAACCUCAUCAACAUCUAUUAUCAUUUUACUUUUUAACAAAAACCAUUCUAACUGGUGUACGAUGGUGUCUUAUUGUGGUUUUUAUUUACAUUUCCUUGAUGGUUAGUGAUGAUAAGCUUUUUUCAUGUUAUUUGGCCACUUGUAUGUGUUCUUUUGAAGAGUGUCUGUUAUUGCCCACUUUUUCAUGGGGUAAUUUUUUCCUUGUGAAUUCUUUAAGUUUCUUAUAGAUUCUGAGUAUUAGAUUUUGUCAGGUUCAUAGGUUAUGAAUAUUUUUGCCAUUCUGCUAGCUUUGGGGUAAGUGAGUUUUUAUUUUUCUAGUUUCUCUAAGUGUGAUGUUAAAUUGUUAGUUUGAGAUCAUUCUAACUUCUUGAUGCAGGUAUUUAGCACUCUCAACUUUCCUCUUAACAGAGCUCUUCCUACAACCCAGACAUUUUGUUAUAUUGUGUCUCUUCUAUUUCAAAAUCUUUUUAAUUUUCUGCCUUAAUUUUUUUGUUUAUCCAAAAUUCAUUCAGGAGCAAGUUGUUUAAUUUCAAUAUCAUUCUGUGAUUUUGUGAGAUUUUCUUGGUAUUGAUUUUUAUCUUUGUUCCAUUGUGGCCUGUCAUAUUCUGUGAGCAGAUGAGAAGAAUUUACUUUCUUUAGAUGAUGUGUUGCAUAUACUAUAAAUGUCUAUUAGUUUCAAUUGAUCAAGUGUCGAAUCAAACUCCAGAAUUUCUUUGUUAAGUUUCUGCCUAGAUAAUCUGUCAAACACUUAGUAGGGAGUUGCAUUCCCCUACUAUUAUUGUGUGUCUACUUGAGUCUUAUUGUAGGUCUAGCAGUAAUUGUUGUAUAACUCUAUGUUCCCCAAAGUUGGGUGCAUCUACAUUUACGAUAGUUAAGUCUUCUUGUUGAAUUGAACCCUUUAUCGUUACGCAAUACCUUUCUUUGUUUUAUUUUACUAUUAAUGAUUUAAAGCUAUUUUUUCUUAAAAGAGAAACAAUUCCAGGUAUGGUAGCUUGUGCCAGCACUUUCAGACUGAAGCAGUCGGAUUGCCUGAGACCAGGAGUUUGAGACCAGCCGAGGCAACACAGCAACAUACUGUUUGUACAAAUUUUUUUAAAGAAACUAUACAGGAGGGGUAAUGUGCACAACUGUGGUCAUAUUUACUCAGGAGACAUAGGUGGCAUGACUGCUUGACUUCCGAAAUUUGAGGUUACAGUGAGCUGUGAUUCCACCAGUGUACGCUGUCCCAGGAGAUAAAGUAAGAUCCUCUGCAUAAAAUGAAAAAGUAAAGAAAAAUAAAAAGAUUUUAAGUUAAAAAAAUAAUUCCUAGAUCUCCACUUCUUUAGGUUCACUUGAAUAUAUAUUUUUCUCCAUUGAUUAGGUUAUAUUUCCUGGUUGCUUUUACUUACUGUAGUUUUGUUAAGGUUUUGAUCAAUUAAGAAACCACUACCUAUUUUAUCCUUUAUGAAAGAGCUUUAUACAUGGGAAAAUUGACAACAUUCAGCCACAGUAGUCAUACUGGGAGCUUCUCCAAUCUGUUGUCAAAAUGUGUCUUCUUUGGACUACUGUAUGUAUUUUCUUGUUAAUAAGGUUUACCUCUGUUUCCUCUUAGGAGCCUUUAGUCUCUUCCCUUCAUCACUCUUGUAGGCACUACAGUCUCUGUUGUUGUAAGAAGCAUUUAUCUUUAUUCUCAGUUGACCCAAGCUGUCAUUUAAACUCAGUCUCUAUUCUCAUCAACACUAAAUGUUAAAGGAAGCAAUUUCCAGUCUUUAGAUAACCCCGGUAUAACUCAGUAAGUCAGAAGUUUGCAUACGCAUUUCACUCUUUUUUCUUUCCCAAAGGAGAAUCAUGGAAUGGACAGAUUUUUAUCUAACUGCGCUGUUCUGUAGUGCACAAAUGUGACCAAAUUUUCUUCUAAAUGUGGUUAUGGUUGGCUUUUUUCUCAUGUGGGGUGCUACAAACUCAACUGGCUUUGUUCACCCAAUUGUAGUUAAGUUCAUAUGUCAAUGGAGAGAAACAGGAUCUCAGGUUCUGCUUCAACUGUCAUUGUCUUCUCAGCUGACCUCAUUUUGUACAUUAGAUUUAUAAAAUAUAUUUACUUUAAUCUCAUCACCGAAUUUUUAAAAAAAUUAUUAUUUUUCAGCUCUUUUAGCAAUAUAUCCAAUCAAGACCCAGAGAAAACAGUACAUAGAAGCUUCUUUUCAAAAAGUAACAUUGGGAAGAUAUGGGAGCUCUGGCCUUGAACUUUUACACUUAGGAGAGUGGGAAAUUGAAGGAUAAGUGUAAACGGCACAAAGUAUGCUAUGAUGAAUAUACCAGAUAUACAGCAAUUACCUACAGCAAAAAUGUCACUGCUAGAAGAGCUCAAAACCAUAAAGUAUUUUGGAAAAAGCAUAAUUAAUGUUGAUUCUUUUUUCUGAACUAUAUAUUUAUAUAAUUACAUACCAAUAACAAUUUUUGAAACAUAUCAUGUUUUUGAAACAAAAUUUAGAAAAUCGCAAUAGUGGCCUAGGCCAGGAAUAUUUCUUCUAAUGCUAUCCCUCCCAUAGUCCCCCACUUCCCGACAGGCUCCAGUGUGUGAUGUUCCCCUUCCUGUGUCCGUGUGUUCUCUUUGUUUAACUCCCUAUUAUGAGUGAGAACAUGCGAUGUUAGCUUUUCUACUCUUGUGUUAGUUUGCUGAGAAUGGUGGUUUCCAGCUUCAUCCAUGUCCCUGCAAAGGACAUGAACUCAUCCUUUUUAUGACUGCAUCGUAUUCCAUGAUGUGGACAUGCCAAGUUUUCUUUAUUCAGUCUAUCAUUGAUGGUCAUUUGGUUUGUUUCAAAGUUUUUGCUCUUGUGAACAGUGCCAUAAUAAACAUACGUAUGCAUGUAUCUUUAUAAUAGAAUAAUUUAUAAUCCUUUGGGUAUAUACCCAGUAAUGUGAUUGCUGGGUCAAAUGGUAUUUCUCAUUGUGGAUCCUUGAGGAAUCACCACACUGUCUUCCACACUGGUUGAACUAAUUUACACUCUCACCAACAGUGUAUAAGUCUUCCUAUUUUUCCACAUCCUUUGUUGUUUCCUGACUUUUUUAAUGAUCACCAUUCUAACAGGUGUGGGAUGGUUUCUCACUGUGUUUUUGAUUUGCAUGUGUCUAAUAACCAGUGAUGAUGUCCUUUUCUUCAUUUGUUUAUUGGCUGCAUAAAUGUCUCCUUUUGAGAAGUGUCUGUUCAAAUCCUUUGCCCAUUUUCGAUGUUGUUGUUUCUUUUUUUCUUGUAAAUUUGUUUAAGUUCUUUGUAGAUUCUACAUAUCAGCCCAUUGUCAGACGGAUAGAUUGCAGAAAUUUUCUCCCAUUCUUUAGGUUGCCUGUUCACUCUGAUAUAGUUUUUUUUGUUGUGCAGAAGCUCUUUAGUUUAAUUAUAUCUCGUUUGUCAAUUUUGGCUUUUGUUGCCAUUGUUUUUGGUGUUGUAGUCAUGAAGUCUUUGCCCAUGCCUAUGUCCUGAAUGGUACUGCCUUGGUUUUCUUCUGGGGUUUUUAUGGUUUUAAGUCUUAUGUUUAAGUCUUUAAUCCAUCUUCAGUUAUGUUUUGUAUAACGAGUAAGGAAGAAGUCCAGUUUCAGUUUUUUGCAUAUGGCUAGCUAGUUUUCCAACACCAUUUAUUAAAUAGGGAAUCCUUUCCCCAUUACUUGUUUUUGUCAGGUUCAUCAAAGAUCAGAUGAUUCUAGAUGUUGAGUGUUAUUUCUGAGGCCUCUGUUCUGUUCCAUUUGUCAAUAUAUCUGUUUUGGUACGAGUACCAUCCUGUCUUGGUUAUUGUGGCCUUUUAGUAUAGUUUGAAGACAGCUAGCAUGAUGCCUCCACCUUUGUUCUUUUUGCUUAGUAUUGUCUUGUCUAUGCAAGACCUUUUUUGAUUCCAUAUGAAAUUUGAGGUAGUUUUUUUUCUAAUUCUGUGAAGAAAGUCAACGGGAGCUUGAUGGGGAUAGCAAUGAAUUUAUAAAUUACUUUGGGCAAUAUGGCCAUUUUCAUAAUAUUGAUUCUUCCUAUCCAUGAGCAUGGAUUGUUUUCGUUUGUUUGUGUCCUCUUUCAUUUCCUUGAGCAGUGGUUUGUAGUUCUCCUUGAAGUGGUCUUUUACAUCAUUUUUAAGUUGGAUUCCUAGGUAUUUUAUUCCCUUUGUAGCAAUUGUGAAUGAGAGUUAACACAUGAUUUGGCUCUCUGUUUGCCUAUUAUUGCGUAUAGGAAUGCUUGUGAUUUUUGAACAUUGAUUUUGUAUCCUGAGACUUUGCUGAAGUUGCUUAUCAGUUUAAGGAAAUUUUGGGCUGAGAUGGUAGGGUUUUCUAGAUAUACAAUCAUGUCAUCUGCAAACAAAGACAAUUUGACUUCUUCUCUUCCUAUCUGAAUACGCUUUAUUUCUUUCUUUCUUUGGCUGAUUGCCAGAACUUCCAAUACUAUAAUGAAUAGGAGUGGGGAGAAAGGGUGUUCUUGUCUUGUGCAGGUUUUCAAAGGGAAUGCUUCCAGUUUUUGCCCAUUCAGUAUGAUAUUAGCUGUGCAUUUGUCAUAAAUAACUCUUAUUAUGUUGAGAUAGGUUCCAUCAAUACAUAAUUCAUUGAGAGUUUUUACCAUGAAGAGGUGUGGAAUUUUAUUGAAGGCCUUUUUUGCAUCUAUUGAGAUAAUCAUGUGGUUUUUGUCAUUAGUUCUGUUUAUGUGAUGGAUUUUAUUUAUUGAUUUGCAUAUGUUGAACCAGCUUUGUAUCCCAGGGAUUAAGCUGACUAGAUCGUGGUGGAUAAGCUUUUUGAUGUGCUGCUGGAUUCGGUUUGCCAGUAUUUUAUUGAGGAUUUUUGCAUCGAUAUUCAUCAGGGAUAUGGGCCUGAAAUUUUCUUUUUCUGGUGUGUCUUUGCCAGGUUUUGGUUUCAGGAUGAUGCUGGCCACAUAAAAUGAAUUAGGGAGGAGUACCUCUUUUUCUAUUGUUUGAAAUAAUUUCAGAAGGAAUGGUACCAGCUCCUCUUUGUACCUUUGGUAGAAUUCGGCUGUGAAUCCGUCUGGUCCUGGACUUCUUUUUGUUGGUAGGCUACUAAUUACUGCCUCAAUUUUAGAACUUGUUAUUGGCCUAUUCAAGGAUUCGACUUCCUACUGGUUUGCACUUGGGAGGGUAUAUGUGUCCAGGAAUUUAUCCAUUUCAUCUAGAUUUUCUAGUUAAUUUGCAAAGAGGUAUUUAUAAUAUUCUGUAAUGAUACUUUUUAUUUCUGUGGGAUCAAUGGUUAUAUCCCCUUUAUCAUUUCCUAUUGCAUGUAUUUGAUUCUUCUCUUCUUCCUUAUUAGUCUGGCUAGAAGUUUAUUUAUUUUCUUGAUCUUUUCAAAAAACCAGCUCCUGGAUUCAUUGAUUUUUUGGACGGGCUUUUUGUGUCUCUAUCUCCUUCAGUUCUGCUCUGAUCUUAAAUCUUGUCUUCUGCUAGUUUUUGAAUUUGUUUGCUCUUGCUUCCCUAGUUUUUUUAAUUGUGAUGUUACGGUGUCGAUUUUAGACAUUUUUCUGCUUUCUCUUGUGGGGAUUUAGUGCUGUAAAUUUCCCUUUCAGACUACUUUAGCUGUGUCGUAUUUUACUUUUUAAGCCCUCAAUCUUUCUUUUUCAUCAUGAUAGUCUUUACUGUUUUAUGUUUAUGUAAUGUAAAAUUGACUACACAAUUUUUACAAAGAUUUUAUGAAAAUAUUUUAUUGAGAAUGUACAAACCUGUCAGUCAAUUAGAGGAGAAGUUACACUGUCGUAAUAAAUAGCCACAAAGCAAAACCCCAAAAGACAUCCAAAUCAGAAUAAAACAAAACAUUUUAACAAAAACAAAAAGAACAAACUGGCAACAAGUAUGUGAAGUUUAUAUUACAAAGAUGCUCACUUAUCCACUCUAAAGAGAGCUUUUAGAAUUUGAUUUAAAAUAUGGCAAAGACAUUAUCCCACACUUCACAGAAAAAAUAAAUUUAAGCAGCUGUUAACACAUGAAUGUAUUAUCAAGCUCAGAUAUAAUCAAAAUUAAAUAUUUGACAAGAGAUUCUACAGUUUGGGAGAAAUAGAAGUGUUUUUUUCUUUUCCCCAGGCCCACAAGUCUAGUUUCUUGCUCUUCUUCACUAUAAUGGGGUUUGUCAUCAGCUCCCCAAAAUAUGGGAAGCACAGAGCAGGUGGUGGCUGAAGGUGGGGUAUCCUGUGAAACCAUAUUUAAGAUCAGAGCCCUUGGUCCAUUGUGUUGUAAUCAGCUGGCUCAGGAAAGAACACCUGGCUGUCCAGAGCUCUACACCUACUGCACUGGGUGUGAAAGGAGGCCUGAGAACCCAUGGGUCCCAAACCCACCCCACUCCAAAUUAUCAUCCAGUAUUGAGAACUCUGACACCAAAUUCUCACAGAGCAUAUGUUUAUGCAGUUUUACAUUUAAUUUCUCAUUACAUUACAAUUGGGAAACUGAGGCCCCAGAAGAGGCAGAGACUGGUCCAGAUCUCAGGAGGUGGGCAGGCUCCAGAGCAUUAGAGAGGGCUCCAGCUUCCUAGGCCUUGGCUCCGUCCCACUUAUCAGGUUUGUUUUCGAAAUUAGAGUCUGUAGCUACACAUUCAGGAGCACAGAAAAUGAGCAGAUUCAGGGUUCUGUUCACAUGGGGUCCUCUCCAUGUCAGUUUCAAGAUAACAGGACUGGGGUUCUGCAUCCAGCUCUCAGGGCAACUGGAAGUAAAAUGAGCUAUGCUCCACCUCAGCCUAAUGUAGACAGUGCCUACAGGAAAGCCUGUUUUCUUCCUCAUAAAUAGGGGUGCCUGAAGUGGGUGACCUUGAUGAUUUCACAUACUCAUAAGUGUCUGCCAGCCUGGAUUCUUGCUCUGAGACUGCAAAAAUGCACCCACUCUGCAGAUCCUUCAAAUCAGAGGGAGGCAUGGCCACUUGAGAGGCAUCUUGGGUAGAUGAAGAUGAGACAGAGUUAAAUGUGCCAGAGCACUGGACUCUGAGGCUGAGGUCCACGGAAAAUCUAAGCUACUGUUGCAUUCUUAAGGUCCUCAUUUGAAAGUGGUAGAAAAUAAUUUCACUGGAUAAGGGGAGGAUACCUCAUGAGUAAAUAGCACAACCAAAAAGGUGGAGGCAAAGAGAGGGCAAAACGGGAUUCCUAGGUCACUCAUUAUACUUGGGGCCUUCAGAUCCUGCUACUUUAUCCCCUAGGACCUUGAAGAACCAGUGUCUUGAGGACAGAAAAAUCAAGGUAUCAGAUUUGUUCAGUAGUGCUCCUGCUUGGGGCUGUAGGGUUAGUGAUGGCCAGGAGGUGGUUACAGCCUACUGUGUUUCUGGUGCCCACUGAGCUUUGCUGGAGCAGCUGGAACAAGUAACAGUCACACACCUCAUGUUGUUAUCAGUGAUGUCCACAUUAUCAGGUGGUCAAAAGGGGAAGGGAUAUUAGGGAUCCCCCAUAUAAUCACUUAGCCAGUCUUUUUUCCCUUGCGCUCACCAUUUGCCAGCUACCCUGGUGGGUCCAACAUGUGGUACAGAAAAUUAUUACAUCAUGUCUGCACCCCCCAACCCAGGACCAAACAGUCUGAGGACCGCUGGACAAAAGCACUAAAGCAAGUAUAUGUGAAAGAAAAGAGCAAGGACUAUAAUAUAAAGUAGAUUAUUGAGAAGAAAACCUGGAAAAUUAUUGCAUGGGAGGACCUCAGGCCUCACUGAGGUGACUUUUAAUCCAUGAUGAGGAUGACAGCAGGGAGGCAUCUGCACAAGCAUGUGUCAGGGAGAAGCCACCCUUAGUGAAAAAACUCAUAGGUGUGAGUUUGGCAGAGGUAAAAAGGGACUAAUUUGGCUGCAGACAGCCUGAGAAAGAGAUAAGCAGAGGGAUGGAGAAUCCUAGGGCCUGGGAGAUGAGGUUAGAUAUCUGCUCCUUUCUGACAACAUUGCCCUAAAAGUCGGCACUUUUCAACAACAUAUAAUAUCUCAUAAUUUGUGUGGACCAGAAUCUGGACACAGUUCAGCUGGCUACCUCUGCCUUCAGGUCUUUUAUGAGACUGGGGGCUGUGGUCUUAACUGAAGCUGGACUGGGAAAGCAUGAGCCUUUAAGCUGACUCAUGUGAAAAUUGACAGGGUUUAAUGUGGACAGAGAGCCUGACUUUCCUUCUCUCUACUCGUCUGAGCACCGCCUCACCCUUUGUUAUGUGGGUCUCUACAUGGAGCAUCUCAUAGCAUUGGAGCUUGCUUCCUGUGUUUGAGGAAUACAAUAGACAGAAUUAGACAAAAAGGUUUACACAAAAAGAGACAGAGAGAAAGAUGGAGGGCGCAAACGAGAAAAACCCAGUAGGAGAAAAAUUAGAGCUUUAAAAAAAUCUUGACAGGGUGCGGUGGCUCACACCUGUAAUCCCAGCACUUUGGGAUGCUGAGACGUGUGGAUCGCCUGAGGUCAAGGGUUUGAAACCAACCUGGACAACAUGGUGAAACCACCGUCUCUUCUAAAAAUACAAAAUGAGCCAGAUGUGGUGGCGCAUGCCUGUAAUCCCAGCUACUUGGGAGACUGAGGCAGGAGAAUCAAUUGAACCUGGGAGGCGAAGGUUCCAGUAAGCCGAGAUCACACCACUGCACUCCAGCCUGGGAUACAAGAGUGAAACUGUGUCUCAAAAAAAAAAAAAAAAAAAAAAGAAAGAAAGAAAGAAAAAAAACUUGAGAGUUACUAUAAUUUUUCUUCUAUAUUUGUGUUAAAAUUGUAACCCCGGGCGUAAUGCUAUAAGGAGGUAGAAAGUAAUUAACCCCUUAGGGUGGGACCCUCAUAAUACAGAUUACUGGCUUUAUACAAGAAACCGCAGAGGGCUCUCAUCCUCCUGCAAAAUGAGGGUAAAACCUGAAGUGUGCAGGCUGAAAUUCAGAAGCCAGUCAUCACCAGAUCUCAACCAUGCUGACACCCUGAUCUCAAAUUUGAACCUCUGGAGGUAUGAGAAAUUAAGUCCUGUUGUCUAUAUGCUGCCUAUCUAUGGUUCUUUGGCAUAGCAACCUGAACUAAUACAAAAGGGAUAUCCUUUUCUGUGUUUCAUUGUAGAGAAGCUGAAUUUGUACCCCCUAUACUGUUAAAAAAAAGACUUAAAAAAUGGAUCUUCAGAAUGAAAGAUAGGAAACGGCUUGUUGAAACACUAAAAUUUUAACUGCUAUAAGUUUUUUAAACAUUGGCUGAAAUUGUUGGAACCAAUAUGGCCAACUGAAGUCCAUGAAGCAUCAGUUUGCAGACUUUGGAGCCCAAAUUUCCAUUGUGUGCUUCAUACUAACUCUCCCUGAAUUUGUAUGUGACCUGUGAGGAAACAAGAAGAGAUGACUGUAUAUGUCUCAUGACUUUCCAUAUUCCUACUUUCCUUCCAGCAAUCCCCUACAGAACCCACCUAUUAGGCCUUUUCUAAUCACUGCCUUAAAGCCAGUAUGACAAAACAAAUUUGAUUUGAACUCCUAUCUCCUUGUUAGCCAACAUACAAGAUGAUAUUUUCCUCAAAACCGAAGGGCCAUAGUACUGGCAUCAGGAAGUAUUCCAUUUUAUUCAAUAAAAAACUGAGUCACUCAAUACCUAGUACUGGGAGACUUUGUGAAGACUUCCUCUGUCAUAGAUGUGAUAAGGCACAUGGAUAUGAUUCUAAAUAUAAAGAGAAAGCACUAGAAAGUUGAAUUCCUGUAUUAGAUCAUUCUCAUACUGCAAUGAUGGAGUACCUGAGACUGGGUAACUUAUAAAGUAAAGAAGUUUAAUUGACUCACAUUUCCACAUAAUUGUGGGGGCACCUCAGAAACCUUCCAAUUACAGUGGCUGACAAGUGAAGUGAGUGAGAGCAUGGGAUGUACCAGAUGCUUAUGAAACUAUCAGAUCUCGUGAGAACUCACUAUCACAAGAACAGCAUGAGGAGAACCCGUCCCCAUAAUCCAAUCAUCUCCCCUCAGGUUUUCCCUUAACACCUAGGGGUUAUAAUACACAAUGAGUUUUGGGUGGGGACGCACAGCUAAACUAUAUGAAUGCCAGAGGACAGUAUCUACAUUUAAUUUCAACUUCAUACUGGAGCAGAAUGAAAAUGAGGCCCAGUGGAGAAGUGAUAUUUCCAAGAUCACCCUGGCAGACACCAGGCCUGUUUGAGUUGUGGCCCAUGCUACCUCCCACCUAUUCUCCUAAUGCUUCCAUCUCUAAGUGUGUGCAUUAUCUACAGGUGACACUACAUCAUUAUUUUUAUGUCUUAUCUUUUUUUUUUUUUUUUUUUUUUUUGAGACGGAGUCUCGCUCUGUCGCCCAGGCCGGACUGCGGACUGCAGUGGCGCAAUCUCGGCUCACGGCAAGCUCCGCUUCCCGGGUUCACGCCAUUCUCCUGCCUCAGCCUCCCGAGUAGCUGGGACUACAGGCGCCCGCCACCACGCCCGGCUAAUUUUUUGUAUUUUUAGUAGAGACGGGGUUUCACCUUGUUAGCCAGGAUGGUCUCGAUCUCCUGACCUCAUGAUCCACCCGCCUCGGCCUCCCAAAGUGCUGGGAUUACAGGCGUGAGCCACCGCGCCAGGCCACUGUCUUAUCUUAUAUACACCUAAUACAUUCCCUAGGAAGUAGAUGUUAGCAUCAUCACCACUGUGCAUGUUAGGAGGCUGGGGAAGCCUUGAAUACAGUGACUUUUACUGGGUCCCAGAGAUGGUAAGAAAAACAAAGUUAUGUUCCAGCUGUCUCUUCUCUCCUGGAACCCAGGUUGCAUUUAGGUCUUUCCAGGGAAUUAAGGGGAAGUUGUGUUUGCAUAAUUGUGUACAAAUAAAGAGUUGACAUGGAAGAGGAGACUGAGCAAUCAGUAGCAUAGUGGGGCCUUUCGGUAUGUCUUACAGAAACAUAGGGCCCAGUAGAUGGAACCUUGAAGAGUUUAACACACUUUCUUGGUGUCAGAACCCAACAGCAGUUAAGAAACCAGGAAUCCACAUUCUUGAGACAGCUCUGUAUCCACCUCUGUUUGUGAGAGUUGCUCAAGAGAGUGAGAUGCUCUUUCAUUGUGCCCUGAAAUUUCUGAGUUUCAGCCUUACAAAGGCUCAAUGUAAAAGUCUUAUCUGAUAACACAGAUGUCAACUGAGCCCUCAUCACUGAUGUCCCUGGCUAUUGGCCGGGUGCACCUACAAAUAACACAGGGCAGCCCAGGACAGGCCCCUCCAAGCCAUCCUCUCUUGUCAACUCAUCUGGGCAGUUCCACACCACUUCUUAGUACCAUGAGUUGGAUGGGGAGCAAGAGGGAGGGCACUCUUCUUGGACUGAAGUAGAUUGUCGGGUGUUGGAACUCUUGUGUACCUGUCAUGUUCAUACCUAGGCCAUAGCUGGCAGAAUAAAAAGAAGAGGGUUGGAGAAUGAGUCUGUGUACUCAGAUGUGAAUUCCAAGACUUUAACUUGUCCUCUGGUUUCCUUCCUUCAUGGAGAUUUAUACAGAUUCUCCUUAUGUGCCUAAUCUGAAGAGCAGAAUUUCUUUUAUUUUCUUUUUUCUUUUUUCCUUUCUUCUUUUCUCUUUUCUUUUCUUUCUUUCUCUUUCUUUCUUUCUUCUUUCUUUCUUUUUUUUCUUUCUCUUUCUUUCUUUCCAUCUCUCUCUUUCUUUCUUUCUUUCCUUCUCUCUCUCUUUCUUUUUUAUUUAUCAUGAAGUCUCACUCUGUUACCCAGGCUGGAGUGCAGAGAAAAGCAGAAUUUCUAAUGGAGGUGUCACAUACGGUCAAAGCAAGGCAGAACACAGACUUUUCUUUGCGUGGUUUCUAGGCACAUUUACAAAGCUGCAUUCAGAUUGAUGAGGAGCUUCAUCAUUCAGUUUAAUGUGGCCAACUCCUCCCUCUUUUUGGAAAAGAGCAGGUGCACUAAACCAGCAAACACAGCCAGCACUGGGCUGUGCUGAGAGCAGCCACAUAGGGGUCUCUACAGACAGAAACCCGAGAAGACCGGGAAAGAACCAGGACCCAGACUCAAAUAUGAAAAAUCUCUGGGCUUUGUCCUACGGCCUUCCCAUGAGUAACUCAUAGCCUUGUUCCAGUGGAAUCUGGCCUUCACUAGUCUCAGUGGCAAGUUGGUUAUGUGGAAAGUCUCUCUUCACACACUUGUGCGAAUAACGAUAAAGAAUUUUGUAUUGUUUUCACUCUACAUUAGACCAUGAGUAUUUAUGCCUGUGGCUGCAGUUUGUAUUAGUUUCCGGCCCCAGGUAUCUCCUGCAGCAUGCAGCUUCAGUCCUAUCGGACCCUCAAAACUUAAAAGCUAACACUAUUACUAGGGAGGAUUUCGCAGGAAAAUGGUGAGAGGGUUACACACAAAAAAGGUUAAACUACUCUAUGCAUGUUUCUGCAAUGUGUUAUCUCAGGAACUCAUUUCUGUAGCCCAUCAGGGCAGGAGCUGGGCUCUCACCUGUUGAUAAUAUUCCAUAAGGGAGGUUCUUCCCCACAGUGUUUAGUCUUCCAACGCUGGUACAGCCUGACAUGAUGACAUUCUACUUUCAUGUCGGUCAUGCUGCAGGGAAAAUUCUGUGAGUGUCCUAAUAGGCUGGAAUAAUUUGCUAGGGUGAACCCCAUCUUUGGUGCUCACUUUUCUGUUAUCUUGUAAUUAGCUUUAUUCUCAGCAAAUCCAUGUCUAUUUUAUUUAUCUGUUUAUUUACUUAUUUUUAUGUAUGGAAAAACACUUUUUUUUAUUUACUUAUUUAUUUAGAGACAGGGUCUCCGUCUGUUACCCAAGCUGGAGUACAGUGGUAGAGUGCUGUGAUCAUGGCUCAUUGCAGCUUCAAACUCUUGGGCUCAAAUGAUUCUCUCACCUCAGCCUCCUGUGCCACCAUGCCCUGCUAGUUGAUUUUAAUUUUUUAUAAAGAAGGAGACUCAUUAGGCAGCCCAGGCUGGUCUCAAACUCCUGGGCCCAAGCAAUUCUCUCAUCUCAGCCUCCCAAAGCACUGGGAUUAAAAACAUGAGCCACUGUACUGAGCUGUGCCUACUUCAAAAGACUGAAAAUAAAAAAUCAAUAAAUCUUUGCCAAAUUAAAAAACAAAACAAUAGUUUCCAGGUCUUAGACAAAGACAAUUCUGUGUCAUGAAGGUGGCAAAAGGCUUAUUUAGCUGUUAAAAUGAUUUGCUUAUAUUUCAAAGAAGCAGAGAAAAAAAGAUACAUAUAAAAGUUUUCCAGGCCAGGCACGGCUGUUCAUGCCUGUAAUCCCAACAUUUGGGGAGGCCAAGGCAGGAGGAUAUCUUGAAGCCAAAUGUUUGAGUCCAGUACAGGCAACAUGGUGAAAUUCUGUCACCAUAAAAAAAUAAAUAAAAUAAAUAUGGCUGGGCAUGGUGGUUCACGCUUGUAAUACCAGCACUUUGGGAGUCGGAGGCAGGUGGAUAAUGAGGUCAGGGGUUCGAGACCAGCCUGGCCAAAAUGGUGAAACCCUUUCUCUCCUAAAAAUAAUAACAAUAAAAAAUCAGCCAGGCAUGGUGCUGUGCGCCUGUAAUGCCAGCUACUCAAAAGGUUGAAGCAAGAGAAUUGCUUGAACCUGGGAGGUGGAGGUUGCAUUGAGGUAAGAUCAUGCCACUACACUCUAGCCUGACCCACAGAGCAAGACACUGUCUUGAAUAAAUAAAUAAAUAAAUAAAUAAAUAAAUAAAUAAAUAAAUAAAGUUAGCCAGGCCUGGAGGUGCAUGCCUAUAGUCCUAGGUAAUUAAGAGGUUGAGGCAGGAGGACUGCUCAAACCCAAGAAGUUAAGGUUAUAGUGAGCUAUGAUUAUGCCAUUGCACUUCAGACUAAGCAAAAGAGUAAGAUUCCAUCUCAAAAAAUUACUAAAAAAAGUUCUCUAAAUUACAUUGUUUAAGAAAAGGGAAAAGAAAAAAUAUCUUUUUUAAUUUUCAAAUGGGAGGAUAGAGCCUCUCAUUUCUAAUAUGUAUUUCCUUCUGCAAAAACAUGGCCUAGGCCCAUGGUCUUGAACUACUGGACAUCUGAAUUUUAGUAGGUGCUGGAUUCAGGCAACUGAGGGGUGGCUUGGACACACUAAGUGCACGUAAAUAAAAGGUUUGAGGUGAACUAAAAGGUAAAAGAGGGGAAGGUGCUAUUAAGAACCCACAAUUGGGAGACAUUACAGGGUUGGUGGAAGGACUGGUUCAUGCUACAGAUACUGACCCAGGUGAAACUUUACUCUGACUUAUUUCUGUGUCCAUGCAGGAAGACGAGAUUAUGAUCAGGUGGCACAGAAACCUGGGAUGGUGAAAAAACCAGGUUGCCCGUGCAGAUUCGGUGUCUGAGGUAGAGCAUAUGCCAGGGGUCUUGUAGGCACGUGUGUGGGUUUUUGGUGGGAAAGUCUAUGAGGAAAGGUAGCAUGGGCCACAAUCUUGAUGCCGAAGCCCUGUGCUGGGAGGGGCUUGACCACGUCAACAUGCAGUGUGUAUGUUCAGUGGGUGAAAAACAUGUGGUGGCCUCAGGUUGGCAGGAGGGUAGAAGGCAUCUGUUCUCAGAACUUCUUCCCUCAGAGUCGUCGGUCCUUCUUACCAUGGGAGGAUGCCUGGAACCACAGGGCAGUGCAUGGUGUAGCAGCCUGUGUGCAGAGCAGAGCCUACCUUCCCCGAGACACCUGGAGUCUCUCUCCAGCAGAGGCCCCCACAUUGUCUUUCUUUUUAUGUUUUUGAUCCUAAAUGUGUAAAGUUCCCUGAAAACCCACUGAUUCUCCAACACCCAUUUGUUGCCUCAAAAUUUAAUUCUGACACAACUUAGAGUUCGCACAGACCCCACAAAUUCAGGGCUCAGUCCCACAUCACCUCUCUCACUGUAGAGGAGAGUUACACAUCCCUGAAGCCCAUCUACACUUCUGAGCUACCUCCUAUAAAUCUGAGACUAGCAUAAAACCCUUUUCAAGUUAAAUAAUUUGAUAGAAUUACUAAAAAGAAAACCUCAACAAAUAACUGUAAUUAUAUUUACUACUUUAUUAUAAAAAUAUAACUCAGAAACAGCCAAAUGGAAGAGAUGUCUAGGGCAAGGAACAGUUGUGGGUGAAGGUAAUCCUGGAAAUAGCUAUAUUUAAAGAAAUUCCCCCAUUCUUUGCAUUCUCAAAGAACAGCUUAGUGAAGAGAAAUGUGCUUCCCGUGAUGACUUUGAGGAUGCUCCCUGCUGUUUUUUUAACCUAUCACAAAAAUGGACACAGGUUGCAAAUUCCCAUUUUUAAAAAUCAACAACCAUUCAGUAAUUUAGUCUUCAGUGGUCAAAAUAACAUACUCUUUACAGAAACUUUGCUUGUUUCUCUUCUUCCAAACAGCCCCUGAACUUUGACUCACCCACAGCUUCAGCAAACCUACAACCCUUAUUUAUACAUAACCCUCCUAAGAACAGGCUGAGUUCAAGGUGAAACAUUAUCUUAUCUGGGAUCUCAUUUUGCUACCCUCCAUCCUGUGCUUCCUUUCCAACCUUCUUUGUAAACUUGUUUUCUCCUCCCUAUGAAAUAAGGCACUUUUCCACCUAACCUUAGAGAUACUCAAAGAUCUAAUCAUUUGUACUUUUUCUUUGUUGCAAUACUUCUUAGGUAACUUCUUAGACCAAGUCUAGAAACAGUCUGAGGACAAUAACAAUUCCAUUCUAAAAAGAAUCUCCCAACAUUUCUUCUAUCUCUACCUCAACUGCAUCUGCCUGUGAACUUCCAGCUUACCAAGGCUCUAUAUCUUCUGGCAGUGACAAAGGCUCCUUCCAUGAUUGGUGUGAGUAGGCUUGGACACCUGCAGGGCAGACACCCAGGAAUAAUCAACUGAGCCUUCAGUGGUCCUCUUUUGCUGGGUCAAGGCAUCAUAGCUGGGAAACGGAUUCACAAGACCCAGGCUGUUCCCUACAUAUGUUUCCUCCUCCGACAUCAGUUCAUCAGUCAAUCAAGCCAUGUGAGAGUGGAGGCCUUGUAUUCCCUAUUAUUCUUGGGCACUCUACUCCAAGUAGGAAAAGGCCAGGAGGUCCUGUUAAAGGAUGCACUCAGAGCCUGGGCUCCCUAACAUAUGAGAGUGCUAACCAGCAGGUGUAGACUUUUCAGGAGUGAAGAAUGAGGCAGGCAUUCCAAAACUGGACCUUCAUCACCUUUUGUUUCAUCUCAAGACAAUUCUGAGGGACUGUUUUGGAGCGUGUCUGGAAGGUGAACCUUGAAGAAGAGUGUGGGCUUUGAUGUGACUCAGUUGAGAUCUUUCAUGGGGAGGCAGGAAUUCAAUGCCCAGAAUCUGGGCUGGUGUCUUUGAGGUCAGUAGGUUGCGUCUUUGUAUCCAAGUCCAUUGUUACUAGGUUGGAGGCUGGAGAUUCUAAAUGGCUUCCAGACUAUCUCUCUGAUUCUCUUUGGGAGAUGGGGUCUGAAAGACAAUGUCAGUAGUUUUGGGAAAUUCUAGAAAGUGUGCUUGGAAACGUGGGAAGAGCUCUUGCCUAGUGCCUAAAUGCUCCAUUUGCAGCUCUAGCCAAGUAGAUACUUGGUAGGUAUAGAGCCGGGUUUGCGUUUAUAUCAGCAAAACCUAUGUCAGAGUUGAAGAAGUAGUCAGGAAAAAGCGUCUUGGUCGCAGGCCGGGGAACAUCUUAAAAGCAAACUUCUAGCCUGCUGACUCUUGGCAAUGAGUGUUGGAUCCUGGCUAAAGUGCCUUGAAUGCAGCAUGAGGCCAAUCCAUGAAUCCAACUUCUCAUGGAGAAAUGUUAAUAUUUUUUCAGUUUGAAUCAAUCAGGGUGAAACUACCAUGCUAUUGGUUUGCUUACUUUUUAUUAUUUCAUGUAAAAUCUAAGACAAAAUACAUUAAAUGCUUAUUGACAUAUGUAUUUAUUCUUCACCAGGCUGAUAAUAUCUGCCUAAUUUUAAACUUUCUUCCAUUUUGUAGGUUUCAACUUAUUCUAUUGUAAGAUACUGUUAAAUCUAAUAGAGGCAUUGUCACUUUUACGUAUAAUUUUAUUUUAUUUCAUAUAUUUCCUAUUGGCUUUUUACAUUUAAAUUAUGGAGCACUUCAUCAUAUAAAAAACUUCAAUUAUAUUUAAACAGUAAGUCUUUGGAUUUUUUUGCCUUGUAAUUUCCAUAUUACAUAAUAAUGAGAUAAACAUUAAUGUUUUCAGGGUACUUUAAAUUUUAGAUAAUUACUCAUUGUAUUCAUGUGAAAUUUGUUUUUACUGCAUGUGUGGGUUGGAGGACUGUUUUCACUUCUGAUUCAUCUUUACUCUUAUCUCAUCAGAGCUCAUACCUCUUGUAGUUGGGGGAUUGCAGUUUAUAAUUCCAAUAAAUGGGGCAAAUUCAAUAAUAACAUAAUACAAAUGAGUUUGAAUGCAGGACAGGUCUUCAAAGCAUACACAACAUGGGCCUACAUAUGUACAACAAUAAUAAUUUAUAAGUUACUGUUUGGAUGGAAAGUAAAAGUACAGAAAAUUUGUUAAAGGAAAUUAAAAUGGAGAUCAUGUCUCAAUAAUCUCUGAGCAGACAAAAUUAGUUAGGUCUCAUAAGUGAUCUCAACCUCGCUUGAUUUGCAAAUACAAACAAAACUUACAUUAUUUCUUGUAGCUGCAUAUUGAAAAAAGAGAAAUGAAGCUCAACCAGUCAGAAGUAGCCAACAACCUUAUAUAAAUAGAAACUGUCCAACAAGGUAAACAGACAAACAAAAAACAAUAAAAAAAGUUGUGCUACCACCAAAUGAUUUCUUUGUUUCUACAUUUUUCAAAUAAAUACUUGCUUCUUACACUGUCAAUGAAGCACUCAAUAUCUUUCCGUCUGAUAUUUUAUAAUUUAUCAAAUGCUCUUACUCAAAUAAACACUUUGCAAUUUCAUUGUGUCUCAAAUUACUUUUUAGCAGAAUAAACUAGGAAUAAAUAUUACAAAAAUAUCUACGGAAUAUGGAAAAAACAUAGAAAGUUUAUGAAAUAUAUGAAUGUAGACAUAAGCAAAUAGACAAUUUGUAUCAUAUUCUUAGGCAGAAAAACUCAAUAUUAUCAACAUCAAUUGUCCUUAUAGUUAUUUAUAAAUUCAAUUUUGUUCCUAUACUGAUACCAUUAAAUAUUGCAAGUACACGUUACUAUAAAAUGUUAUAUAGAUGAAAACACAAACAAGAAUAGACAAGAAAACUCUGAAAAAAAAAAAAAAACCACUGGCAAGCCCUGUGUAAAAUCUUGAUUGAUUAAAAAACUCAUGGAUCACUGAAACUAAAAAUUCAGAAAUAAACCAAAGUGUCUAAGAAAGUGUCAUAGUGCAUCUUGGCUGCUAUACCAAAAUAGCUUAGACUGGGUAAAGGAUAAAUAAGAGAAAUGUAUUUUUCACAGUUAUGGAGUCUGGAAAGUGCAAGAUCAAGGCAGCAGCAAAUUUCGUAUAUGGUGAGAGCCCUAUUCCCCAUAGAUGGUACCAUCUCGCACAUGGGACAAGGGCAUUCCCUUCAACUUCCUUUGAAAGAGCACUGAUUCCAUUCAUGAAGAUGAAGAACUCUUGGCUUCACCACUUUCCCAAAGGCCUCACGCCUAAAAUUAUACACAUGAAUUUGAAAGGGGACAUAAACAUUCAGGCCAUAGCAAUAAAAACUACAUGGGUGAUGGCAUCAUUUAUACAUGAGGUGUAAAAAUGUGAUGUUCUUAUCACAAAGGAAAUAAAUGAUUUAUUCUUCAUGGCAUAUAUCAAAAUGAAGGUCCAAUGAAAAUAUUUUUUAUGAAGAUAAAUCUAUAUGGCAAAAAAUUAAGUAUUGAUAAGUUUAACCCUACAGGUUGCAUCAGGAUUUUCAAGGUUUCCAGGGAUGAGCAAGGCCCUGGAGUUUCCUCCUGUGACAUUUUCCUGGAAGUUGCUCAUGCUGUUAUUCAAUUUGAAAGUAGAUAAUAUUGUUUGUUUCUCUUCCAAUAUUUACUAAAUUCAAAAUAAUAUAGGGCUCUUUACUCAUAAUUCUCAAACAAUCAUUCAGUCAGUGGGGCUCUGCUGAGGAAGAGCACAGACACAUCCACACAAGUAUAAUGUUCCUCAAAUAGAGGACUUCUCCUUGUGCUGGAGCCACCUAUGUUGCACUCGAUCAGAGGCUUUCCCAGGAUAGCAUUUCUCUGCAGCCCUACCUCAGUCUUAACCCUGAAAAUCCCACUCAGAAGGCGACGGAUGAACACCCACCCUAGCAUUCUAAUCUAAUGGAUCCUCUCUUAACAAUCCCUUCCAGGGAUCUGGGAUCUUUCCUGGAUUCGUCGGCCACACACACCUAGGCUCAAAAAUUUGGACAGAAACUUUGAUCCUCAUUGGCCCUCCUGCCCUGUCCUACCAGCUUCUCUAGAAGUAUGCUUCUCUAAUUGCUCCUUAGAGACACUAUCUAAGGGUAUCAACCUGUGCCAAUAUAAUUGAUCUCAUAAAGUGAGAAGGGAAAUAGGCAAGAGUCCAGCUAGCCUAGAAGCAGUGUCUAGGGUUCCUUACCUGAUUUAUGUCUCUGAUUUACCUAAAUAUUGACAAAUACAGAUUCACCUCUAGGCAGUAGAAAAACAGAAGGAGAAAUCCCAGUUCGUAGAGGAAGAAGAAAAUGCAAUCAAUGCUGUCUAGAGUCCCGCUUAAGCUCAGCCACAGGGUACUAAGUCUCUUCAGGAAAAAGCAAUUGUUGUCCAUCAUCUGAAAAACUGUGGCCUGGAACCAUGGGCACCGAGAGUGCACACUGCCCACUAGAGUUCCAUGCCUACAUCACGGAGAGAUAGAAUAGUCUCAAAGGAUUCUUAAGAGUAAUGUGGGGACCAAAAGGAGAUGAAUCCACAGCCUCUGCCUUACCGUCUGAUCUAACUAAUAGUAUUUCCAGACCUUUCUGUGGGCUGCACCAGGGGUUGUUCAGAAAGAAAAAAAGUUGUUAAUGUCCCACCGUUUCCCGUAGCUUCCGAGGUCUGUGUUGUUCA